UGGCGAACGGGUGAGUAACGCGUGAGGAACCCGCCUCAAAGAGGGGGACAACAGUUGGAAACGACUGCUAAUACCGCAUAAGCCCACGGGUCGGCAUCGACCUGAGGGAAAAGGAGCAAUCCGCUUUGAGAUGGCCUCGCGUCCGAUUAGCUAGUUGGUGAGGUAACGGCCCACCAAGGCGACGAUCGGUAGCCGGACUGAGAGGUUGAACGGCCACAUUGGGACUGAGACACGGCCCAG
rnacentral:rRNA from 1 species